GGUGCCUAUCUAAGCAGAACCUUAGGUGGUGCUGUAGAUGGCAACCUCAGCAAAAUCAAUGAGCACCUAACAAGUGCCGACCAGCAAACCAAUGAUCCGCUAACAAUAGCAGAUAAUGGAGCUGACCAGCAGAGGCAUGCGUCCAGAGCUCAGCCUAGGACGAGAGAGCGAUCUUGCAAGGGAAGUAUGGCGGCGAAGAAGCGUCAGGAGAAAAUUGGCAAGCGGAAAUCAUGUACGAAGGUGCCACGUGGUGAGAGGAACGCCCUGCUAGAUCGUCGUAAUGAAAGCUUUGCAGGUAGGGUGAAGACCCCGACUGUCAGGUCCAUCUCCAUACCGGAAAUGAGCUCAACUGGACAACCUACCAUAGUUGAAGCACACGGUGCCUCAACCUCAUCUAGCACGCCGGAGUACACUAUCAGAAGUGAAGACGACAUGGACGCUUACCUUAGUCAUCUCAUGACUGAUAAUGUCAACCCUGACAACCUCUUUGACGAUGAGUAUUACCUGUUUGCUGGUGAAGGCUCAGAUGCUGAUGACAUGGAGCACGACGAAUUGGAAGACUCAAGUCACAAUACCUAUGUCGACCAUGAUCCACUGGACUAUGUCUACUCAAACCUCCCAGACCACACACACAUCCUGAAGCACGCCGCGAACUGCGAUCACUGCAAGGCCAAGAAGUUUGUGUCCAAGGCCCCGGGAUUCUGCUGUCGCAGUGGGCAGAUCGAGCUGAAGCAACCGGAGCCCAUCUCGGAGCUAAUGAGGCUUUGGUCUAGCAUGGAUGCGGACUCAAGGCAUUUUCGGGAGAACAUACGGUUCUUCAACGGCCACUUCUCCUUCACAACCCUCGGCGUCAGCCUCGAUGAAAGCUACACAAACAUGAAGUCUGGGGUGUACACGUUUCGGGCGCACGGCACCAUCUACCACAACGUUCAUUCCUUCGGGCCAACAUCCCGUCCAGAGCAUCUACAGUUGUACUUCUACGACGACGACCCAGGCCUAACCCAUCGCAAGGCUGCCACCGAGCAAUUAGACCAGGAUGUCGUCAGAAAGUUAGUGGACAUACUCAGGGAAAACCCGUACUCCCAGCAGUUCAGGAGUUUGGGUGCGCACAGGGACAACCUCGACGAUUACAGGAUAGACCUCAACACUGACCAGAGACUAGACCAACGGAAGUAUAAUAGACCUCUGUCAUCUGAGGUCGCUGCAAUUUGGGUGGAGGGCACUGACCUAGCGAAGAGGUUCGAUCGUAGGAUUACACUUUGCGGGAAUGACAACCAGAGG
rnacentral:rRNA from 1 species